GAUGAACGCUGGCGGCGUGCUUAACACAUGCAAGUCGAACGGUGAAGGCGGAGCUUGCUCUGCUGGAUCAGUGGCGAACGGGUGAGUAACACGUGAGCAAUCUGCCCCUGACUCUUGGAUAAGCGCUGGAAACGGCGUCUAAUACUGGAUACGAGCUGCGAAGGCAUCUUCAGCAGCUGGAAAGAACUUCGGUCAGGGAUGAGCUCGCGGCCUAUCAGCUUGUUGGUGAGGUAACGGCUCACCAAGGCGUCGACGGGUAGCCGGCCUGAGAGGGUGACCGGCCACACUGGGACUGAGACACGGCCCAGACUCCUACGGGAGGCAGCAGUGGGGAAUAUUGCACAAUGGGCGAAAGCCUGAUGCAGCAACGCCGCGUGAGGGACGACGGCCUUCGGGUUGUAAACCUCUUUUAGCAGGGAAGAAGCGAAAGUGACGGUACCUGCAGAAAAAGCGCCGGCUAACUACGUG
rnacentral:rRNA from 1 species